rnacentral:rRNA from 1 species
CCUAUCAUGCAAGUCGAGCGAAUGGAUUAAGAGCUUGCUCUUAUGAAGCUAGCGGCGGACGGGUGAGUAACACGUGGGUAACCUGCCCAUAAGACUGGGAUAACUCCGGGAAACCGGGGCUAAUACCGGAUAACAUUUUGAACUGCAUGGUUCGAAAUUGAAAGGCGGCUUCGGCUGUCACUUAUGGAUGGACCCGCGUCGCAUUAGCUAGUUGGUGAGGUAACGGCUCACCAAGGCAACGAUGCGUAGCCGACCUGAGAGGGUGAUCGGCCACACUGGGACUGAAACACGGCCCAAACUCCUACGGGAGGCAGCAGUAGGGAAUCUUCCGCAAUGGACGAAAGUCUGACGGAGCAACGCCGCGUGAGUGAUGAAGGCUUUCGGGUCGUAAAACUCUGUUGUUAGGGAAGAACAAGUGCUAGUUGAAUAAGCUGGCACCUUGACGGUACCUAACCAGAAAGCCACGGCUAACUACGUGCCAGCAGCCGCGGUAAUACGUAGGUGGCAAGCGUUAUCCGGAAUUAUUGGGCGUAAAGCGCGCGCAGGUGGUUUCUUAAGUCUGAUGUGAAAGCCCACGGCUCAACCGUGGAGGGUCAUUGGAAACUGGGAGACUUGAGUGCAGAAGAGAAAAAGUGGAAUUCCAUGUGUAGCGGUGAAAUGCGUAGAGAUAUGGAGGAACACCAGUGGCGAAGGCGACUUUCUGGUCUGUAACUGACACUGAGGCGCGAAAGCGUGGGGAGCAAACAGGAUUAGAUACCCCUGGUAGUCCACGCCGAAAACGAUGAGUGCUUAAGUGUUAAGAGGGUUUCCGCCCUUUAGUGCUGAAGUUAACGCAUUAAGCACUCCGCCUGGGGAGUACGGCCCGCAAGGCUGAAACUCA